UGGGAAUAUUGGCACAUGGGCGAAAGGCCUGAUGCAGCAACGCCGCGUGAGUGAUGAAGGCCUUCGGGUUGNAAAGCUCUGUCUUUUGGGACGAUAAUGACGGUACCAAAGGAGGAAGCCACGGCUAACUACGUGCCAGCAGCCGCGGUAAUACGUAGGUGGCAAGCGUUGUCCGGAUUUACUGGGCGUAAAGGAUGCGUAGGCGGAUUUUUAAGUGAGAUGUGAAAUACCCGGGCUUAACUUGGGUGCUGCAUUUCAAACUGGGAAUCUAGAGUGCGGGAGAGGAGAAUGGAAUUUCCUAUGUAGCGGUGAAAUGCGUAGAGAUUAGGAAGAACACCAGUGGCGAAGGCGAUUCUCUGGACCGUAACUGACGCUGAGGCAUGAAAGCGUGGGUAGCAAACAGGAUUAGAUACCCUGGUAGUCCACGCCGU
rnacentral:rRNA from 1 species